UNGAACUGCGGUNGCUUUACCAUGCAAGUCGAACGGCAGCGCGAGAGAGCUUGCUCUCUUGGCGGCGAGUGGCGGACGGGUGAGUAAUAUAUNCGGAACGUGCCCAGUAGCGGGGGAUAACUACUCGAAAGAGUGGCUAAUACCGCAUACGCCCUACGGGGGAAAGGGGGGGAUCGCAAGACCUCUCACUAUUGGAGCGGCCGAUAUCGGAUUAGCUAGUUGGUGGGGUAAAGGCUCACCAAGGCAACGAUCCGUAGCUGGUUUGAGAGGACGACCAGCCACACUGGGACUGAGACACGGCCCAGACUCCUACGGGAGGCAGCAGUGGGGAAUUUUGGACAAUGGGGGAAACCCUGAUCCAGCCAUCCCGCGUGUAUGAUGAAGGCCUUCGGGUUGUAAAGUACUUUUGGCAGAGAAGAAAAGGUACCUCCUAAUACGAGNUACUGCUGACGGUAUCUGCAGAAUAAGCACCGGCUAACUACGUGCCAGCAGCCGCGGUAAUACGUAGGGUGCAAGCGUUAAUCGGAAUUACUGGGCGUAAAGCGUGUGUAGGCGGUUCGGAAAGAAAGAUGUGAAAU
rnacentral:rRNA from 1 species